UACGGAGGGGGCUAGCGUUGUUCGGAAUUACUGGGCGUAAAGCGCACGUAGGCGGCUUUGUAAGUUAGAGGUGAAAGCCCGGGGCUCAACUCCGGAAUUGCCUUUAAGACUGCAUCGCUAGAAUUGUGGAGAGGUAAGUGGAACUCCGAGUGUAGAGGUGAAAUUCGUAGAUAUUCGGAAGAACACCAGUGGCGAAGGCGACUAUCUGGACUGUGAUUGACGCUGAGGCGCGAAAGCGUGGGGAGCAAACAGG
rnacentral:rRNA from 1 species